rnacentral:rRNA from 1 species
ACAAUUGCGCGGGCCUAAAAAUGCAAGUCGAGCGGUAGCACAGAGAGCUUGCUCUCGGGUGACGAGCGGCGGACGGGUGAGUAAUGUCUGGGAAACUGCCUGAUGGAGGGGGAUAACUACUGGAAACGGUAGCUAAUACCGCAUAAUGUCGCAAGACCAAAGAGGGGGACCUUCGGGCCUCUUGCCAUCAGAUGUGCCCAGAUGGGAUUAGCUAGUAGGUGGGGUAACGGCUCACCUAGGCGACGAUCCCUAGCUGGUCUGAGAGGAUGACCAGCCACACUGGAACUGAGACACGGUCCAGACUCCUACGGGAGGCAGCAGUGGGGAAUAUUGCACAAUGGGCGCAAGCCUGAUGCAGCCAUGCCGCGUGUAUGAAGAAGGCCUUCGGGUUGUAAAGUACUUUCAGCGGGGAGGAAGGUGUUGAGGUUAAUAACCUCAGCAAUUGACGUUACCCGCAGAAGAAGCACCGGCUAACUCCGUGCCAGCAGCCGCGGUAAUACGGAGGGUGCAAGCGUUAAUCGGAAUUACUGGGCGUAAAGCGCACGCAGGCGGUCUGUCAAGUCGGAUGUGAAAUCCCCGGGCUCAACCUGGGAACUGCAUUCGAAACUGGCAGGCUAGAGUCUUGUAGAGGGGGGUAGAAUUCCAGGUGUAGCGGUGAAAUGCGUAGAGAUCUGGAGGAAUACCGGUGGCGAAGGCGGCCCCCUGGACAAAGACUGACGCUCAGGUGCGAAAGCGUGGGGAGCAAACAGGAUUAGAUACCCUGGUAGUCCACGCCGUAAACGAUGUCGACUUGGAGGUUGUKCCCUUGAGGMGUGGCUUCCGGAGCUAACGCGUUAAGUCGACCGCCUGGGGAGUACGGCCGCAAGGUUAAAACUCAAAUGAAUUGACGGGGGCCCGCACAAGCGGUGGAGCAUGUGGUUUAAUUCGAUGCAACGCGAAGAACCUUACCUACUCUUGACAUCCAGAGAACUUUCCAGAGAUGGAUUGGUGCCUUCGGGAACUCUGAGACAGGUGCUGCAUGGCUGUCGUCAGCUCGUGUUGUGAAAUGUUGGGUUAAGUCCCGCAACGAGCGCAACCCUUAUCCUUUGUUGCCAGCGGUCCGGCCGGGAACUCAAAGGAGACUGCCAGUGAUAAACUGGAGGAAGGUGGGGAUGACGUCAAGUCAUCAUGGCCCUUACGAGUAGGGCUACACACGUGCUACAAUGGCGCAUACAAAGAGAAGCGACCUCGCGAGAGCAAGCGGACCUCAUAAAGUGCGUCGUAGUCCGGAUUGGAGUCUGCAACUCGACUCCAUGAAGUCGGAAUCGCUAGUAAUCGUAGAUCAGAAUGCUACGGUGAAUACGUUCCCGGGCCUUGUACACACCGCCCGUCACACCAUGGGAGUGGGUUGCAAAAGAAGUAGGUAGCUUAACCUUCGGGAGGGCGCUACCACUUUUGAUAGUGGGA